rnacentral:rRNA from 1 species
GCCACACUGUCUCCUCUCGGGACUCAGCGAAGUUGAAAUGUUUGUGAUGAUGCAAUCUACCCGCGGCUAGACGGAAAGACCCCAUGAACCUUUACUGUAGCUUUGCAUUGGACUUUGAACCGAUCUGUGUAGGAUAGGUGGGAGGCUUUGAAGCCGGAACGCUAGUUUCGGUGGAGCCGUCCUUGAAAUACCACCCUGGUUUGUUUGAGGUUCUAACCUUGGCCCG